GUACAGGAGCUGCAAGAGAGGCGCGCCGGGGCCAGCAAGCUCUAGAACAGCAGGAGCGGCCCCAGUUGGGACCCCGGGACGACGAGUGGCCGGCAACGCGGCGCCCGCAUGGCCCAAGCAGUGUCCGGGAGGGGUCGGGGCCCCGGACUAGGGGCGCAGCGAGGACCGCCCGGAGGCUUUCCCUUGGGCAGCUAAGUCCGAGUCAGCUCUACUCGGAUUUCCAGCUUCCAGCCCCGGCUCUGAAGCGCCCUCGAGAAGUGUCUAAAGGAGACAGUUGAUAGCCAAACAACAGUUUUGGAUUCACUGACUGAUUAUGAAAGAAGCAGUAGACUGGUAUCAAGAAUCAGUCAGCAAGGAGGCCCUCACCAGACGCCAGUGCCAUGUUCUUGGACUUCUCAGCCUCCAUAUUCAUGAACUAAGUUUUUGGAAUCCUUAGGCUUCCACGUGUGGAAAGCCUGAGCUAACCUACUGGAGGAUGAGCCAUCACCUGGAGCAGAUUCAGGCCAUCCUAGUUGAAGCCUCCCUAGGCCAAGCAACCGUCCAACUACCAGACAUUGACCAUUCAGCCUUGAACAUUCAGCACAAAGACAAAACAGACCAGACCAGAAGAGUCCCACAGAAUAGGGGAAACUAUUCAGAGAAAACUUAAGCCACUAAGUUUUAUGGUGUUUUGUUCUGUAGCAGAAGCAUAGGCAUACUGACAAUACAAACCGAAAUCCUUCUAACGUAGUGGACCUUUUCAGGCCAGCAUUUUUUCCUUGAAAACCUGGAGCAUGUAUCCAUCUUAUAGCAGAGAUCACUUUCACAAUGUUUGGGCUCUUGAUUUGAAUUGAUGAUGUAAUGAGCCCUCUAUCCAGAUUGUAACUAAUUACUCUGCGAAUUGACUGGAUUCCACACCCUUCUAAUAUUUUACUUUUCCUCUUUUAUCAACUCUCAUUCUUGCUGCCAUGAUCAAUGGACCAACUAUGCUUAUAACCACAAAUUUUGAUAUGCUUAAACAAAUGAACAAAUAUAUUUAAUAAUUUCUUUUUUUUUUUUGAAAUAGUAUCUUGCUCUGUCACCCAGGCUGCAGUGCAGCAGCGUGAUCUCAGCUCACUAUAACCUCCACCUCCCGGGUUCAAGUGAUUCUCCUGCCUCAGCCUCCCAAGUAGCUGGGACUACAGGCGCCCACCACCAUACCUGGCUAAUUUUUUGUAUUUUUAGUAGAGACAGGGUUUAUCCAUGUUGGCCAGGCUGGUCUCAAACUCCUGACCUCAAGUGAUCCUCCUGCCUCGGCCUCCCAAAGUGCUGGGAUUACAGGUGUGAGCCACCAUGCCCAGCCAAUAAUUUCCUGAUAUAAUAAAAAUGCCAAUACUAUACAAUUAAAUAGUAAAGUGAUAAAAAAUAGGAUAACAUGAUAACCACUAAUUAAUAUAUACUACAUAAUCAUCCUUUUCGUGAGUUGAAAUGUUCUUUUAGCACACUUUAUGGUUUAUCCUUUCUGGAAUACUAUUAUAUGAUCAUGAUUUUUCUCACACUUGUUCCAGUGAAAUAUACUUUUAGGUGUUUCCUUUGUAUUGUUCAAACUGUAAUAUCUCCAGUGGAAGAUUUUUUAAGCUUGUUCUUGUCUUGUCAGUGUCACCCACAUAGUCAUAGUCUGAAAGCAUUUUGCUUUCUGGAAAUAAGAUAUUAUAGGCACCAAGUUAUGGAAUUAUCUACUUUUCACCAAGCCUUCAUUCUUUCAGUGCUGUAUUAGAGACCUCAUUUAGGGUUCUAAGGGUGCAUAUCAAAUUGUUCCAUGAGUCUAAAAUGGAUAAUUCUUCUGUGGGCCAUUUUUAGUGCUAGAGCUAGAAAAGUUAUACUUUUAAAAGGUAAAUAGCUCACAAUGAUUUUGCAAUAUAAUUCCCACUUUACCCAAUUAUUAACUGCUGUUUGAAUAUAAAAAUAUUUUUAAACUUUUUUAUUUACAACAUAUCUAUUUAAAUUCAAUACAGCAUUCCCAAAUAAAUAUAGCAGAAGUGGGAGUUUCAAGUUACUAAACAUGUCAGUCACAAUUUAUGGAGCCGAUUGAAAGAUGGAGAAAUAUUACUGUAUUAGUUUCUUCUCACAUUGCUAUAAAGAAAUAUCUAAGACUGGGUAAUUUAAGAAGGAAAGAGGUUUAAUUGGAUCAUGGUUCCACAGGCCAUACAGAAAGCAUGAUGCUGGCAUUUUCUCAGCUUCUGGGGAGGCCUCAGGAAAUUUACAAUCAUGGAUGGGAAGGGGAGCAAGCACUUCACAUGGCCAGAGCAGAAGGAAGAGAGAGAGGCGGAGGUGCCUCACACUUUAAAACAACCAGAUCUCAUGAGAACUCUAUCUCUAUCAUGAGAACAGCACCAAAAGGGGAAAUCUGCCCCCAUGAUCCAAUCAUCUCCCACCAGGCCCCACCUCCAACACUGGGGAUUGUAAUUGAACAUGAGAUUUGGGUGGGGACACAGAUACAAACCAUAUCAUUCCACUCCUGGCCCCACUCAAAUCUCAAGUCCUUCUCACAUUGAGAAAUACAAUCAUGCCUUCCCAACAGUUGCUCAAAGUGUUAACUCAUUCCAACAUUAACUCAAAAGUCCAAAGUCUCAUCUAAGACAAGACUAGUCUCUUCCAUCCAUAAGUCUGUAAAAUCAAAAAAAAGUAAGUUACUUCCAAGAUACAAUGGGGAUAUAGGCAUUUGGUAAAUAUUCCAACUCCAAAAGGGAGAAAUCAACUAAAAGAAAGGGGCUACAGGCCCCAUAAAAGUCUGAAAUCCAGCAGGGCAGUCAUUAAAUCUUAAAGCUUCAAAAUAAUCUUUGACAUUAUGUCCCACAUCCAGGGCACACUUGUGCAAGGGGUGGGCUCCCAAAUCCUUGGGCAACUCUGCCCCUGUGGCUUUCCAGGGGUCAGCCCCCAUGGCUGCUCUUAAGGGCUGGCAUUGAGUGCUUGCAAUUUUUCCAGGCACAUGGUGGCAAGCUGUCAGUGGCUCUGCCAUUCCAGGGUCUGGAAGAUGGUGGCCUUCUUCUCAACUGCCUAUCUAUUAGGCAGUUCCCCAGUGGGUACUCUAUGUGGGGGCUCCAACCCCACAUUUCCCCUCUGCAUUGCCCUAGUAGAGGUUCUCCAUGAGGGCUCCACCCCUGCAGCAGGCUUUUACCUGGACAUCCAAGUGUUUCCAUACAUCCUCUGAAAUCUAGAUGGAGGCUCCCAAGCCUCAAUUCUUGUACUCUGUGCACCUUCAGGCUUAACACCACAUGGAAGCUGCCAAAGCUUAUGGCUCACACCCUCUGAAGCAGUAGCCGGAGCUGUACCUGGGCCCCUUUUAGCCAUGGCAUUCUCAAAGAAUGUUGAGAGAGAUGGCUGGAGGUGGAGUGGCUGGGAUGCAGGGAGCAGUGUUCUAAGGCUACAUAAGGCAGCAGGGCCCUGGGCCCAGCCAAGGAAACUAUUCUUCCCUCCUAGGACUCUGGACCCGUGAUGGGAGAGGCUGCUGCAAAGGUCUCUGAAAUGCCUUGGAACCCUUUUCUCCAUCGUCUUGUCUAUCAAUAUUUGCCUUCCUUUUAGUUAUGCAAAUUUAUGCAGCCUUCUUGAAUUCCUCCCCAGAAAAUAGGCUUCUCUUUUCUACCACAUGGCUGGGCUGCAAAUUUUCCAAACUUGUACUCUCUGCUUCCCUUUUAAAUAUAAGUUCCAGUUUCAGAUCUUUUCUUUGCUCACACAUAUGAGUAUAUGUUGUUAGAAGAAGCAGCCAGACCACAUCUUGAACAUUUCGCUGCUUAGAAAUUCCUUCUACCAGAUACCCUAAAUCAUCUCUCUCAAAUUUAAAGUUCCACAGAUCCCUAGAGCAAGGGCACAAUGCAGUCAGUUUCUUUACUAAAUCAUAGCAAAAAUGACCUGUGCUCCAGUUCCCAAUAAGAUCCUCAUCUCCAUCUGAUACCUCCUCAGCCUGGACUUCAUUAUCAGCAUUUUGGUCACAAUAAUUUGACAAGUCUCUAGGAAGUUCUAAACUUUCCCUCAUCUUCCUGUCUUUUUCUGAGCCUCCACAUUCUUCCAACUUCUGCCAGUUACCCAAUUCCAAAGAUGCUUCCACAUUUUCAGGUAUCAUUAUAGCAACGCCCCACUCGUCAGUACCAAUUUUCUGUAUUAGUCUGUUCUCACAUUGCUACAAAUACCUGAGACUAGGUAAAUUUAUAAAGAAAAGAGGUUCUGCAGGUUGUAUAGGAAGCAUAAUGGCUUCUGCUUCUAGGAAGGCCUCAGGAAACUUACAGUCAUGGUGGAAGGCAAAGGAGAAGCAAGGAUUUCACAUGGCUGGAGCAAUUACCCAAAGGGAGAAUGCCACCAAAUUCUACAAGUGAUUAGCUUUUAUUUCUAGGAGGCAAAAAACAGGUGGCUUAUGCCUGUAAUCUCAGCACUUUGGGAGGCCAAGGUGGGCAGAUCAAAAGGUUAGGAGAUUGAGAUUUAUGGAGCUUUUUUUGCCUAAACCACUUACCUUCUUAGCAUAGGGACUUUUAAAAAUUCUGAUUAUCAGAAUAUGGCUGAGAGAUGUCAGAACCAUUUUUCUCAAAUAUGAAUUCUUAGCAGGAAUAGAAAUUGCAAUUUUUUAAUUUUUAAUUUUAAGAGGAAUUAGUGCCAGAGAGAACUAUUAAGAAAGGGGUAUAUCCAGUCUAAGGAUUAUUAGGCUCAAGUCCAUGAAUAGGCUCUGGGAAGUUUGUAAACACUUGGAAAUUAUUUGCAAAAUGUGUGUGUGAAUGUGCUUUACCUUAGAGAGUUCAUGAAUUUCAUUAGAUUGUUGAAAGAGUUUUAGUAUUAACAAAGGAAAAACAAACCACCACCAUCACAUAACAAAACCACAACAGUGAUUUAAUCUUUUCACCUAACAAUAAGUAAAUUGAGGCUCUGAUGGCUAAAUUAAUAGCCUGAGGCUACACAGUCAGUGGCAGAGCCCAGGGUAAAGAGAGAACCAGCACAGCCAUUGUGGGAGCCGAGGGUAAAGAGAGAGCUAGGUGUUGUACUUAGUAAAUAAAUCAGAAAUUCCUAACUCUUAGGCUGGAGUUCUUCCUGUUAUGUGAAGCCAAAGUAGGGAAUCAUUAGGUCCAAGAAUAGGAAUUACAUUUAUAUUUUAAUGAAAAGGUGCAGUAAAAUUUAAAGGAAGAGAGAGGGUUGCAGAUGACAGAAUACAAAGAAUGUUGAGAGAGAUGAAGCAAGAUGAGUCCAUAGAAUCAGAGGCUUAGAAGUAAUUCCUAUUUAUGAAAGGGAGUGAGAACAAUGUGGUGAGGUGUAUAGAGCUAUGUGAAAGUGCUUGUCAAUAACAUGGCUGCAGAAUGCUGAUGGUGGUAAUUGAAAAGGAAGUAAAAUAUAAAAACAUUUGCAGAAUAUUUCUUUUUUUUUUUCUCU
ensembl:lncRNA LINC00941 long intergenic non-protein coding RNA 941